AUGCGGCGACAAUGGCAAACAAGAAGACAUCAACGUACGCCACCACCAUCGCCGGUUUGCAGGGUCCCGCUAACCGCUUUGAAGGCCUUCAGUUUGACACGGAGAAGUCCUGGGCAUGGGUUCGAGAUGAUGCAUGACGUGGUGGCGAGGGCCACAAUGGCCAGGGAGCAAGCUGAUGGCAUCAAAAUGGUAUGCCGGGAAGCUUUCAGUUUGGAUCUUGUUGGAGAUUCUCCAUGUAGCCUUCUUGGUUCUGAAUCCAAAGUGCAUGGUAAUCCUGAAGAGCUUGACUCCUUGAAUCAGAGGAAACCAAGGUUAGCAUUAGUCCCCACAAUAACUUGGCUUGCAUGCAGUAAUAUUUUGGGAGUGGAGAAAGAGAGCAAGAAUUCCACAAUACAUACGAUCAAUUGGAGGGCUUCUAACCGUUUUUACUUUAGCUAA
rnacentral:rRNA from 1 species